AGUAGGGUGGGUUACCAUUCUCUGCCAGCAGGGGGUGUCCUCACCACCAGGCGCAGAUUUUGUGGGAUCACUUCAGGACUGUUUCUGAGGUAUUGAAAGCUAAAAUAGUGAAGUUAAAAUGGCUUUAAAUCGCUUUAUUUAUUUAUUUUUGUUCUGGUGAGGUCAUGGCAGGUGCAAAGCAUUUCCAGUAGUGAUACAGUUUAUAUUAUCUUGUUUAUCUUCGUAAUCAAACUUUGGGAUGAUCAAAGAGCUUUUAACACAUUCACUUUUUUCCAUGAAAAUAUGUUAAAUGAGUUAAAUGAAUGGAAAUGGACCUCAGCCUGGAUUAAUGCUAGAGGAGGACAGACACAUCCAGGAAUCCGAAUACCGGAACUAAUCUUUACAUCUUCUUUGGCAUGUAACAACAGUAGGACAUGAUUAGCCUGGUCCAACCCUGCUGUGCAAAGGGGAGGAACUAUGUCAAUUACUAAAACUUCACUCAGACAUGCCCACAGAAAGAGAUUUUAAAGUAGGAGAAAAAUUGAACAAACAAGGUGACCUAAAGGAUGUGAUUUCACGUAACAUUUCAGUUUUUAAGCUAUCACUACUGCUGUGUUGGAUAUGAAUUGAUUUGUGUUCACCCUGCUCCCCUAUCUCUACCGCCCUGCAUCGAAACCCCCGCUGGGGCCUGAACAAGUGGGCUGUGUGAGACCCCCACUAACGACUCUCCCUCUUCUUUUCAGAUAACUGCAGGAGGAGGGGUAGCAUCCAGUUGGUAGAAGGGGGGCUGGUCACUAAUGUUGUGUAUUGGCUCCAGCAGAUUAUACCUAGUUAGUACCCCACGUAAAGCUCAGUAUGUGCAGAUUGCCCCAGGUGAGAUGUGUGCUGAGCCGUGAGUGAUUGUGAGAGGGUGACGCUUUUCUCAGCUUCACGAUGAGCCCUGCUGGCUCUUUUGGGAGGAUGGAGGCGUCAGACUGACCCACCGGAGAAGGAGCAGAACCACAGAAGAAGAUGUGGCUCUCUUACCCCGGCGGCGAUUCCUACGCCCGGAGGAGGCAGAAGGCAAAGGCGGACCAGCAGCUGCAGCAGAUGGAGAAUCAGGUCCGGAGUUGUAGCCUGAGGAAACAGGGA